AUGACGGUCAAGACCUCGUCC
rnacentral:snRNA from 1 species